CCUGCUCGGUUUCAAAAUUACGCCGUGAUUUUCUAUGUCCAUCUGAGGAAACUUUAAAAAUGUGCUACCAUCAGCUGUAUUGUAGAAGCAUGCCAAACUAGGUUAUUGUGCUCAGGUCAAAGUGGAACACAACCUCAGACAAGUUUGUCAUCCUUGUAAAAAAAAACAACACAUCAUCAUCAUGCUGAAAAAAUAACAGUUAUUUGUGACUUCAAGGUAAAUUUUAUUAUCAGAGUACAUACAUAUCAGGACAUUCAACCCUGAGAUUCUUUUUCCUGAGGGCGGACUCAGCAAAUCAAUAGAAAAGUAACCAUAAAUGGGAUCAAUGAAGGAUCCAGUAGAGCAUGAAGUAACAAAAUAAUGAGUCCUUAAAGUGAGAUCAUUUGCUGUGGGAAUAACGCAAGAUGAGUGUCAUCAUUCUCUUUUGCUCAAGACCCUGAUGAUUGAAGGGUAGUAAUUGUUCUUGAAACUGAUAGUGCCAGUCCUGAGGCACUUGUACCUUCUACCUGGUGCCAGCAGUGAGAAAAGAACUUAGCAACGUUUCAUGUAGAUAUGCUGAAUGGAUGGGAGAGCUUUAACCAUGAUGUACUGGGCCAAAGCCAUUACCUUUUGUAAGCUUUUCUGUUCAAGGGCAUUGGUAUUCCCAUACCAGGUCAUAAUGUAACCGGUCAAUACGCUUUCCACCACCCACCUAAAGAAGUUUGCCAAGGUUUUUGAUGACACGCUGAAUCUCUGCAGACUCCUGAGGAAGUAGACGCACUGUUGUGCUUUCUUUGCAAUUAUAUUCAUAUGAUGGGUCCAGGACAGGUCCUCUGAGAUAAUGACACCCAGGAAUUUAAAGUUACUGACUUUCUCCACUUCUGAUCCUCCAAUGAGGAUUGGCUUGUGAACAUCUGGUUUCCUUUCCUGACGUCUACAAUCAGUUCCUUGGUCUUACAGACAUUGAGUGAGAGGUUGUCCUUAUGACACCACUCAGGCAAAUUUUCAGUCUCUUUCCUAUAUGUUGAUUCAUCACCACCUUUGAUAUGGCCCACAACAAUCAGCAAACUUGAAUGAUGUUAGAGCUGUACUUAGACCACAAUCAUAGGUGUAAAGUGAGUAGAGCAGGGGAGCUAAGCACUUCCCUGUGCUGCAUCUGUGCUGAUGGAGAUUGUGGAGGAAAUGUUUUUGCCAGUCUGAACUGAAUGGGGUCUACCAGUGAGGAAAUCCAGGAUCCAAUUGCACAAGGAGGUAAAGAAGGCCGAGGUCUUGGAGCUUACUGGUUAGUUUUGAGGAGUUGAUGGUAUUAAAUGCUGAGCCGUAAUCGAUAAAGAGCAUCCUGAUACAUGCAUCUUUGCAGUGCAAAUGUUCCACGGUUGGGUGAAGAGCCAAUGAGACGGUAUCUGCUGUGGACCUGCCAUUCCAGCAGGCAAAUUGGAGUAGAUCCAAGCUGACAGUUUAAUGUUUGUGAAUAUAAACAACACUUUUAACUACACAUUGCUAACUGGAUUAUAUUGUUUAGCAGGGAGUAGAAUAUCUGCCUCUUCUAAGUAGAGAAAGGAAAUAUAGGUAAAAUGAAAAUAUUCUUUAUGGAAGAUGACAUUGCAUGCUCUAGGAGUAACUGUACAGUCAUAUCUGAGUCCAAUUUUAUGCAUUUUCAGUAACAGUCAACCGUUUAACUUCAUUAUUCUCUUGACUGGUUCCACAGAAUGGUUAAUACUUCAGAGAUCACCUGCUUACAGAUUUAGCAUCAUAUAUUCUGCAACUAUCAGACAGCAUAUGGUUGAGAAGAGUAAAAGCAAAUUUGCUGUUCCUUCCAUGCUGGAGCAGAGGGGAAAUAUGUUCCCCUGCAGCUCUGUGUCCCAUGAGUUAAAUCAUCUACCCUCCUCUUAGAUCAAUGGUAUUGCAUAGCAUGACAUGGAGAGGUGGUUAAACUGAAGACAGAGACAGUAGAUUCACAACAAUUCUUCGGACCAUACUGAUUUGGAAAUAUAUGCUAUUUCUCCAUUGUCACUGGGUACAAAUCUUAGACUUCCCUUACCAACAGCAGAGAAGGGAGUUGAAAAAGGCAGCACUGAAGAAGCUGAUGCCAUUGAGAAGGCCUCAAAGUCACCGGAGACAAAAAAUUAAUAUGACUUUCAGUGUGCCCCAGGGGAACACUUACUCCACCUCUCAGUCUAUAUCUGACAGUUGUACUAGCCAGUGACUGGUGAUAUCUCUCCUGGGGCUGAAUGUAGGUAUGGCCACAGCAGCCAUUGUUAUAGUGGACGUAAGACUGGAUUGAGGCUUCAGAACCCAGGCCCAGGAACAAGUAACAAACCAAUGAUUAUCCGAUCUAAGCACCGAGCCAGAUUAAAAAGAUUAAGGCAUCCAGGCGAGUGGCAAAGGUAGAACCGGUGUUCAGCUCAUUACACCAUGAGGCUUUACUCACCUCUGUGCUGAACUGACUCUGGAACCGAGCUCCUAGACCGGCUGCAGCUCUGAGCUGGCUUUGUGGCUGUGGUCUCACAUUUGUGGACUUUGUGGUUCAUGUUCUGUGUAAUAUCUGUUCACUUUUUUUAUUGUUUGCACGGUUUGCUUUUUUUUCCACACCUUGGAUGUUUGAUAGUUUUUGUGGUGUCGUUCCUUUUUGAGGAUUCUUUUGUGUUUCUUUGUUUUGUGAAGAUGAAUCUCAAGGCUGUGUAUGGACUCCAGGAAGACAAUGAAUCCCUGCUGGAGGGAUUGCUUCAGACUUUCUCAUCCAUGACUCUGUGCCUGAUGUGAGUGGCCUUGACUCCAUUCCACAGCACUCUAUUCAGCACAAUUUUGCUUGUACUUUGAACUUUGUUCACUACUAAUCUCAGCAGACUGCAGGACUUAGUUUGGAGCCUUGCACCCGUGACUGGUCUUUCUCAGAUGCAAAGCGUGACAGACAAUCAUGGGAUGCAGUCAUUAGAGCACAUCAGUACAAACAGGAAAUGAUUAUUAAUAGAAAAUGAUAUCACACCAUAAGGCUGCUGAUGGAUAUUGUGGAAGUCCGUGUAAGGUUUCUUGACUGGACCGCUGCCUCAAGUGCUUGUUGAUGUGUUCCUUUUCCCUUCAGGAAUGUUGCAACUGCCAAUCAUAGAAUGUCUUGUCGUUGUAUUGCAACAGGCUUUGGCUCAUUCAGGCUUCAGCAAGGUCAGUGGAGGAUAAUGUCAUGUAUUAUCAAUGUGAAGAGCAGUGGAAGUGAAGCAAAGCUCCAUCUUCUGACUGUUCGACAAAGAUUCAAAGCUCAAGGACUGCUCUUCAAUCUUCUGGAAUAAAAGAAUAAUCCCUCCAACAAGCAGCCCAGAAGACAUGACAGAGUAUUAUAUAAAAG